rnacentral:rRNA from 1 species
AUUGAACGCUGGCGGCAUGCCUUACACAUGCAAGUCGAACGGCAGCACGGGUGCUUGCACCUGAUGGCGAGUGGCGAACGGGUGAGUAAUGCAUAGGAACGUACCGUGUAAUGGGGGAUAACGUAGCGAAAGUUACGCUAAUACCGCAUACGACCUGAGGGUGAAAGCAGGGGAUCGCAAGACCUUGCGUUAUACGAGCGGCCGAUGUCAGAUUAGCUAGUUGGUAGGGUAAAGGCCUACCAAGGCGACGAUCUGUAGCGGGUCUGAGAGGAUGAUCCGCCACACUGGGACUGAGACACGGCCCAGACUCCUACGGGAGGCAGCAGUGGGGAAUUUUGGACAAUGGGGGCAACCCUGAUCCAGCCAUGCCGCGUGAGUGAAGAAGGCCUUCGGGUUGUAAAGCUCUUUCGGCCGGGAAGAAAUCGCACAGGCUAAUACUCUGUGUGGAUGACGGUACCGGCAUAAGAAGCACCGGCUAACUACGUGCCAGCAGCCGCAGUAA